AUGUCAGGGUAAGGGAGGAAUUGGAAAUAGACAGGAAGUGACCCACCAUGAAACAGGAAGUUCCGGGUGAAAGGUCAGUCGGGAGGAAGUAGAGAGGAGACAUUGUUGGAACUGGCAGCAGAGGAGAGUUCAGAGUCUUGUAUGGAUCACAUCAAUGAGGAUGGAGGAGGACCCAAGUCACAUGACUGAGAGGAUAUUGAACCUCACCCUGGAGAUCAUCUACCUGCUGACUGGAGAGAGUUUUCCUCUGGUGAAGUCUGGUGAUCAUCUAACCAUCACAGUGCCUUUACCUCACUGCCUGACAGCAAAGGUAACCAGUGCCAAGCAGAUUCUAGAAGUCACAAACAAGAUGAUUGAUCUGCUGAAAGGAGAGGUGAGUGGUGCAGGGAAUUCUGGGACAUUAUCCAGUAACAGACAAGGGAUGUGUCUGGUUGGUGACUGUAUCAUUGUGUGUGUCAGGUU